ACGCACGCUUGCGGCGUGCUUCACACCUGCAAGUCGAACGGAAAGGCCCUGCUUUUGUGGGGUGCUCGAGUGGCGAACGGGUGAGUAACACGUGAGUAACCUGCCCUUGACUUUGGGAUAACUUCAGGAAACUGGGGCUAAUACCGGAUAGGAGCUCCUGCUGCAUGGUGGGGGUUGGAAAGUUUCGGCGGUUGGGGGUGGUUUCGCGGCUUAUCAGCUUGUUGGUGGGGUAGGGGCUUACCAAGGCUUUGACGGGUAGCCGGCCUGGGAGGGGUACCGGCCACAUGGGGACUGAGAUACGGCCCAGACUCCUACGGGAGGCAGCAGUGGAGAAUAUUGCACAAUGGGCGGGAGCCUGAUACAGCGACGCCGCGUGCGGGAUGACGGCCUUCGGGUUGUAAACCGCUUUCGCCUGUGACGAAGCGUGAGUGACGGUAAUGGGUAAGGAAGCACCGGCUAACUACGUG
rnacentral:rRNA from 1 species